rnacentral:misc_RNA from 1 species
CCUAAUUCAAUCCUAAUUAGGAAUGCUAAAUUAAGCCAAAACAAACUAGGAAAUAAUAAAGUGCCUAAAUAAUAGAGCUAAUAAGAAUAAAAUUCUUAAAUAAAAAACUCUUAAAUUUCCUAAUUUUGCAAUGAGAAUAAUUCCUAAAGUUUAUCUUCUCAUACUGCAUUAUUCUCCUCUGUUUAGAAAAAAAACUCAUCAUCGAGUUCUAAAGUGUUGAAGGAUCAAGAACCGAGCAAGGAGAACACAUAGUACGAUCUUCUUGGAUGGUAGCAACAAGAAUGACUUGAAGAAGUUUGCGCUCUCUUUUAUAUUCCUGGUCAAGUAUGUUUCCAUAGGAGUCUUGUAUCAGGGGUCGAUAAUCUCCAAGGAAGAACUGGUCAUAUUUAGCAUCCUGUUGUGAUUCACCUUGGCCUGUGCUUAAUAUAUAUAAUUGACCAACAUCAUCUGACAGUAUAAUGGACGUCCCAUCCGGUGAAAACUUCCCAUCAACUAACUUGAAAUGUGAAAUCUCAUAGAUGCGGAUAGGUGUGCCUUCCCAUAUCUAAAGGAAAACAAUAUGAAAGUAUUCAAAAACUAAAGAAAUAAAAAAGAAACUAGAAUAUGCUUGAAUAAACUAAAACUCACAUCCCACACGAUAGUUCUUCCAUCAUAUCCAGCACUCAUGGCAAUUCGUGGGUUGAAAGGAUGAGCAUCCAGAACAUAUGUAGAAUCAGUGUGGCCAGUCAAAGAAUGAACUAAGCUACCAUCAGCAGCAUUCCAAACACAAAUCCUGCAAUCCAUGAUAGCAGCAAGGACAAAACGGUUAUCUAGGCUCCACACUAUCAUAUUCACACCACGAGGAGUUGGUAGAAUUCUUUGACGCGGACCUCCUCGAGGAGGUUGAGGAGGCAUUGGUGGAGGAGGAACUUUCAGGUGAUAAUGUCGACUCCACCGGCCAGCUUUCCCAUGUGAUCUACGUGAUCUUGGAAUCCAAAUAAUUGCACUGCCAUCUCGGGAACAGGUGACUAUGUUGUCAUGGGAAAACCAUGAAUUUCUAAAUUUUGGAGCAUUCUCUUCCUUUGAACUGUCUGAAAGAGAAAACCUAGAUGCCACGGCACAGCCACUAAACUGAACAUAAUUGACAUCAUUCUCAUGGCCAGAUAACACAUCCAUCUCGUGAUUUGGUUGGUCUGAAUCAUCUGUGUUCGGCUUAUAAGCAUUCCACACCCUAGCAAGAUUGUCAGAGCUGCCAGUGACAAACACAGUUCCAUUGGCAUUAAACGCGCAACAAAAUAUUUGAUGGUUCUGCAGACCACUACUUGUAGAUGGACCACCAUUCUUUCCAGUUAUGGAGUCUGAAGGCCUAGGAAUAUAUAUCCGUGGACUGAAGUUGGAAUUUCUAGCAUCCCAGAUCCUACAUGUUCCAUCAUCAGAUGAGGAAAGAAGCUGGUAUACAGAUCCAGGCCUAGGACUAAAUGCAAUGGCAGUUACAGCUCCAGUAUGUCCACGUAGAACAGAUAUUGGAAGCCCAUCUGGUAAACGCCACACACGAAUUAUACAAUCAUUUGAAGCAGAAGCCACCAACGCAUUGUUAGAACUCACAGCCAAGUCAGUAAUGUCGCCUUCAUGUCCACGACAGCUGGCCAAGCAAAAGGCAGUUUCCAUGGACCAGAUUUUUACAAGGCGAUCAUCAGAACCAGUAACGACAUAUCUUCCUGAGCAAUCAAAAAUUGCACAAUAGACAGCAUUUCGAUGUCCCCGCAGCUUCUUGAUAUUUUGCAUUUUUUGUACCAUAGUUGAUGGUUUUGCAAUAGCAUAGCAUGCUGCACGGAUUGAUGGUGCACGGUGGUGUCUUGAAAAACCACCCCCAAUUUCUCUCAAACUCAAUCCACGAACCUGAUCAGCACGCAUAUGAGGCCAUCGCAUAUGAAUAGGGGGACAGUUGGUUUCGGUUUUUCCAUUAUCUCUAUCAUGGCUCAAAAGUGAAAAUGAGCCUGCUCCCAAAUGCUGCUGAUGUUCCUACGCUUUUGGGAACAGGCUUAUUUUCACUUUUGAGCUAUGAUAGAGAUAAGGGACAAACUCACAUCAAGCAUCCCCCUACCCAUAUGCGAUGGCCUCAUAU